rnacentral:rRNA from 1 species
GAUGAACGCUCGCGGCAGGCCUAACACAUGCAAGUCGAGGGAGAAGCCCUUUCGGGGGCCGAAACCGGCGCACGGGUGCGUAACGCGUAUGCAACCUACCUUUCACAGGGGGAUAGCCCGAAGAAAUUUGGAUUAAUACCCCAUAAUAUUAUUGGAUGGCAUCAUUUGAUAAUUAAAACUGCGGUGGUGAAAGAUGGGCAUGCGUCCUAUUAGCUAGUUGGAGUGGUAACGGCACCCCAAGGCUACGAUAGGUAGGGGUCCUGAGAGGGAGAUCCCCCACACUGGUGCUGAGACAGGGACCAGACUCCUACGGGAGGCAGCAGUGAGGAAUAUUGGUCAAUGGUCGGAAGACUGAACCAGCCAUGCCGCGUGCAGGAAGAAUGCCUUAUGGGUUGUAAACUGCUUUUAUAUGGGAAGAAUAAGGCGUACGUGGACGUUGAUGACGGUACCAUAGGAAUAAGCAUCGGCUAACUCCGU